CAGGCUUAUUGCGUAUCUCAUUUGACGUUUCAUAGUGAUGAUAACUUUGCACGGUGCUCAACGAUUUCUUGUCAAACCAUGUUUUUCGUAUUGGCUAUUCUCAGUUAUCAACUGAAAUGACAUCAUGAGCACCAAAUCCACUUGAAAGCCACCGUAACAGAUUUGACAGGUGUUUUUGUAUCGAUAGUUUUUAAAAUGGUAUUCCGUAAGCAAAGUGACCAUCAAAAGGUUGAUCACUAUAUUAUUAAAAACUGCUUUGAAAGGAACUAGUAUUGAGCAGUGUUUUAUAAAUUCUCAGUGAUCGACACUAUAAUCCGGAUAAGUUAAAUAUUAAAAAUAUAUAAACGGGACAUAUGAAGAAUAGCACGUAUAUGAUUUAACGUCUUAUUUCUAGUGUUUUUACACUGUAAGUAACAAAAAAUAUGUAAGGAUUUUUUAAGUAUAAAUACAUAGCCAUUUUAUUUUUUCCAAACGGUUUUUAGUGAACAAUAAAAGCGUAGGGAACCAUAUAAUUUAUAAAGAAUGGCCCGUGCUUUUUUUACUUGGAUUUGUGGAAGAAGUAUUGAAAUUUUAAUUAUUGAAAUAUGUCCCAGCCAACAUUGAGUAAAUGUUUGCAUGAUGUUACAAAUACAUUUAACACCCAAGAAAUACUUUAUAAGUAUAUCAAAUUCCAUAUGACCCAAAGAGAAAUCAUAAUACCAGACUUAGUGUAAAAUUUGGUUUUCUUGAGUCCUUGGCUGCAUUGAUGGAACUCUACUAGAAAUAUUGCAAUAAUCAGACCCACUAACCAUGAAGAAACAAUUCUUAAUAGGAAAUAUUUUCAUUCAUUGAAUGUAUUAAUAUUAUGUGAUUCCAAAUUAAACAUAAUGUAUGUGGAUGCAUCAUGCGCAAUGGCCCUGGAUGAUGACACCAAUAUUAGGAGCAGGGCCCGGGACACCUGAAGAAUACUAUUGCAACCUUCAUUGCUGUAUCAGGAAUAC